UACGUAGGGUGCGAGCGUUAUUCGGAAUUACUGGGCGUAAAGCGCGCGCAGGCGGUUCGCUGUGUCCGAUGUGAAAGCCCCGGGCUUAACCUGGGAAUGGCAUUGGAAACUGGCGGGCUUGAGUGCGGCAGAGGGGGGUGGAAUUCCGCGUGUAGCAGUGAAAUGCGUAGAGAUGCGGAGGAACACCGAUGGCGAAGGCAGCCCGCUGGGUCGACACUGACGCUGAGGCACGAAAGCGUGGGGAGCAAACAGG
rnacentral:rRNA from 1 species